rnacentral:rRNA from 1 species
GAUGAACGCUGGCGGCGUGCUUAACACAUGCAAGUCGAACGGAAAGGCUCAAGCUUGCUUGGGUACUCGAGUGGCGAACGGGUGAGUAACACGUGGGUGAUCUGCCCUGCACUUCGGGAUAAGCCUGGGAAACUGGGUCUAAUACCGGAUAGGACCACAUUUUGGAUGGUGUGGUGGAAAGUUUUUCGGUGUGGGAUGAGCUCGCGGCCUAUCAGCUUGUUGGUGGGGUAAUGGCCUACCAAGGCGUCGACGGGUAGCCGGCCUGAGAGGGUGUACGGCCACAUUGGGACUGAGAUACGGCCCAGACUCCUACGGGAGGCAGCAGUGGGGAAUAUUGCACAAUGGGCGCAAGCCUGAUGCAGCGACGCCGCGUGGGGGAUGACGGCCUUCGGGUUGUAAACUCCUGUCGCUAGGGACGAAGCGCAAGUGACGGUACCUGGAGAAGAAGCACCGGCUAACUACGUG